rnacentral:rRNA from 1 species
AUUGAACGCUGGCGGCGUGCCUAACACAUGCAAGUCGAGCGGUAACAGGUGUAGCAAUACAUGCUGACGAGCGGCGGACGGGUGAGUAACGCUUGGGAAUCUGCCUGUUAGUGGGGGACAACCCGGGGAAACUCGGGCUAAUACCGCAUACGCACUACGGUGGAAAGCCGGGGACCGCAAGGCCUGGCGCUAACAGAUGAGCCCAAGUCGGAUUAGCUAGUUGGUAGGGUAACGGCCUACCAAGGCGACGAUCCGUAACUGGUCUGAGAGGACGACCAGUCACACCGGAA